rnacentral:lncRNA from 1 species
UCCAGAGCCUGCCUCUCAGCUCUCCCAGGGCGGCCUCGAGCGCUGCUCCUGCUCCUCCAGGGGAGAGGGUUUCACUCCCGUCACCCAGACUGGAGUACAAUGGUGCGAUCUCAGCUCACUGCAACCUCUGCCUCCUGGGCUUAAGCGAUUCUCCUGCCUUGGCCUCCCAAGUAGCUGGGAUUACAGGUGCCUGCCACCACUCCUGGCUAAUUUUUGUAUUUUUUGUAAAGGCGGAGUUUCUCCAUGUUGCCCAGGCUAGUCUCAAACUCCUGAGCUCAAGCAAUCCACCCGCCUCGGCCUCCCAAAUAAGUGGAAUUAUAGGUGUGAGCCACCACGCCGGCCCUGAUGUAUCAAUAUUAAAACAUUUUCUUCAGCCUACAAGUUCUUCUUUUUCUUAUUUGGAUGCAAACUAAA